CCUAACACAUGCAAGUCGAGCGGUAACAGGUGUAGCAAUACAUGCUGACGAGCGGCGAACGGGUGAGUAAUGCUUCGGAAUCUGCCCAAUGGUGGGGAAUAACCAGCCGAAAGGUUGGCUAAUACCGCAUAAGUCCUACGGGGGAAAGCAGGGGAUCGCAAGACCUUGCGCCGAUGGAUGAGCCGAAGUCGGAUUAGCUAGUUGGUAGGGUAACGGCCUACCAAGGCGACGAUCCGUAGCUGGUCUGAGAGGACGACCAGCCACACUGGGACUGAGACACGGCCCAGACUCCUACGGGAGGCAGCAGUGGGGAAUAUUGGACAAUGGGGGAAACCCUGAUCCAGCGACGCCGCGUGUGUGAAGAAGGCCUGCGGGUUGUAAAGCACUUUUAGUGGGGAUGAAAAGCUCAGGGCUAAUACCUCUGGGUCUUGACCUAACCCAAAGAAAAAGCACCGGCUAACUCUGUGCCAGCAGCCGCGGUAAUACAGAGGGUGCGAGCGUUAAUCGGAAUUACUGGGCGUAAAGCGUGCGUAGACGGUUAUGUAAGUCGGGUGUG
rnacentral:rRNA from 1 species